rnacentral:misc_RNA from 1 species
GAUGAAGAACUCAGCGAAAUGCGAUAAGUAAUGUGAAUUGCAGAAUUCAGUGAAUCAUCGAAUCUUUGAACGCACAUUGCGCCCGCCAGUAUUCUGGCGGGCAUGCCUGUUCGAGCGUCAUUUCAACCAUCAAGCCCCAGGCUUGUGUUGGGGACCUGCGGCUGCCGCAGGCCCUGAAAACCAGUGGCGGGCUCGCUAGUCACACCGAGCGUAGUAGCAUACACAUCGCUCAGGGCGUGCUGCGGGUUCCGGCCGUUAAACCCCUUUUUUACCCAAGGUUGACCUCGGAUCAGGUAGGAAGACCCGCUGAACUUAAGCAUAUCAAUAAGCGGAGGA